rnacentral:lncRNA from 1 species
CUAUUUCAUCCGAGAAAAGAAAUCAACAUCUCUAUUCAUUCUCUUCCAUUUCAAAACUCAAUAAUCUCUUGUAAUAAAAAAACUAAUUUUAAUUUAAUUAAAGUUCUAAACCCUUAGUUCACCCUAUUCCUUCUAUAUUUUUAUUCAUUUCAAACUUCUCUUGCACUUCCUCUCAACUGGGUCACAGAAUCAACCCAAAAG